rnacentral:tRNA from 1 species
GCGGGCGUGGCGGAAUUGGCAGACGCGCUAGACUUAGGAUCUAGUGGGGAGACCCGUGAGAGUUCGACUCUCUCCGUCCGCAC